GUGGCGCACGGGUGAGUAAUGUAUAGGUAAUAUGCCUCUUACUAAGGGAUAACAAAUGGAAACGUUUGCUAAUACCUUAUACUCCUUAUUAACCUAAGUUAAUAAGGGAAAGAUUUAUUGGUAAGAGAUUAGCCUGUAUUGUAUCAGUUAGUUGGUGGGGUAAUGGCCUACCAAGACUAUGACACAUAACUGGUUUGAGAGGAUGAUCAGUCACACUGGAACUGAGACACGGUCCAGACUCCUACGGGAGGCAGCAGUGGGGAAUAUUGCACAAUGGACGAAAGUCUGAUGCAGCAACGCCGCGUGGAGGGUGACACAUUUCGGUGCGUAAACUCCUUUUAUAUGAGAAGAUAAUGACGGUAUUAUAUGAAUAAGCACCGGCUAACUCCGUGCCAGCAGCCGCGGUAAUACGGGGGGUGCAAGCGUUACUCGGAAUCACUGGGCGUAAAGAGCAUGUAGGCGGAUUAAUAAGUUUGAAGUGAAAUCCUAUA
rnacentral:rRNA from 1 species